rnacentral:rRNA from 1 species
GGCUGAUCUGAUGGUCCACUUCGGUGCGCACUGUUGGGUUGGCCUUUCCUUCUGGGGAACUUGCGUGCGCUUUACUGCGUGCGUAAGGGAUCCAGGACUUUUACUUUGAAAAAAUUAGAGUGUUUAAAGCGGGCAUUUGCUUGAAUACAUUAGCAUGGAAUAAUAGAAUAGGACUUUGGUUCUAUUUUGUUGGUUUCUAGGACUGAAGUA